UCUUUAGGUACCCUAAUGACAAGUUCACCCCAGUGUUUUCUGAGGAGUCUACCUGGAAAUGAGAACCAUCUGUCCUUCCUAUAGUAGUUCUUCUCAGAAUGCCGACUCUAUGCUAAUGGAAAGAAGUGAGAUGAUGAUGGCUCUGUCUCAGCAGCUCUCGGGGGGACCUGCAGGCUGGGGAGGCAGCUUCUCUCUGCAAUUUGGCCGCUCCUGGACUUGUUGCAGCCAGGCUUCAAAGAGAAACCACCGCUUCCUCCCCGAGCCCCACGCCAGCCUCAGAGGCAGCUGGGCCUAUUGAAACAUUCAAGUUUCACUUCAGGCUACUUUAAACAUUUGCUUUAUUCCAAAACAGCUAAACUUGGAGUUAUUUUCAAAUAUAGGCCAUUUUUAUGCCCCAGUA
ensembl:lncRNA DLEU1 deleted in lymphocytic leukemia 1